rnacentral:rRNA from 1 species
GCUCAGAUUGAACGCUGGCGGCAGGCCUAACACAUGCAAGUCGAGCGGAUGACAGGAGCUUGCUCCUGAAUUCAGCGGCGGACGGGUGAGUAAUGCCUAGGAAUCUGCCUGGUAGUGGGGGACAACGUUUCGAAAGGAACGCUAAUACCGCAUACGUCCUACGGGAGAAAGCAGGGGACCUUCGGGCCUUGCGCUAUCAGAUGAGCCUAGGUCGGAUUAGCUAGUUGGUGAGGUAAUGGCUCACCAAGGCGACGAUCCGUAACUGGUCUGAGAGGAUGAUCAGUCACACUGGAACUGAGACACGGUCCAGACUCCUACGGGAGGCAGCAGUGGGGAAUAUUGGACAAUGGGCGAAAGCCUGAUCCAGCCAUGCCGCGUGUGUGAAGAAGGUCUUCGGAUUGUAAAGCACUUUAAGUUGGGAGGAAGGGCAUUAACCUAAUACGUUAGUGUUUAGACGUACCGACAG